UCAGUCAUCCCCAUGUUCUCCUAUGCCUCUGGUUCACUGUGCUAUUUUUGCAUUGUUAAUUUGAGAUGACAUAGAUAAGAGAAGAAGCUUCAUUCAUGAAAUCAAAUUCUGCUUACAGGCACCUGCGCUGCUUAAGGCUCUGAAACCCAGUGACAAAGCACUGGCUAUACUGGAGAUUGAAGUCAUACAUGACCACAGAGUCCUAAGGAUGAAGUGACGAAGUGGCAGCAAUGACUUUAAUGCUUGAGCAAGACUGUCAUAUUCCUCUGGAGCUUAACAUCAAACGCAUACUCUUCUGGACCAUCAGAAAUAUCUGCAGUGACUAGCAAGAUCCUAAAUGAUGAAAUAAGAUCUCUUAAAAAUUCAUGCUUUUUUGAAGAAACAACCAAUGGGAAUAGGUAACUUGUAUGCAACCACAAUGCAGCUUUCAGUGUGAAGCAGUGUAAAAAGUAGCAGUGAUAUCAAGGGUGAUGUUCUGGUAUCCACAAAUCAUAGGUGCCAUAAAGAUGGCAG
ensembl:lncRNA